rnacentral:rRNA from 1 species
UACGUAGGGUGCGAGCGUUAAUCGGAAUUACUGGGCGUAAAGCGUGCGCAGGCGGUUUUGUAAGCCCGAUGUGAAAUCCCCGGGCUCAACCUGGGAAUGGCAUUUGGGACUGCCAGGCUCGAGUUUGGCAGAGGAGACUGGAAUUCCUGGUGUAGCAGUGAAAUGCGUAGAUAUCAGGAAGAACACCCGUGGCGAAGGCGGUUCUCUGGGACGGUACUGACGCUGAGACGCGAAAGCGUGGGGAGCGAACAGG